rnacentral:snoRNA from 1 species
AAUGCCAUUUGGUAUCUGACACAUGGUCUGCUCUUGUGACUAUUUGUCUCGAAAUAUGGCAUAAAACAAGGGGUAACGGAUCUUGCGACAUUGGUGGUACCUCUAUGAU